rnacentral:rRNA from 1 species
GGUUAAGCGACUAAGCGUACACGGUGGAUGCCCUGGCAGUCAGAGGCGAUGAAGGGCGUGCUAAUCUGCGAUAAGCGCCGGUAAGGUGAUAUGAACCGUUAUAACCGGCGAUACCCGAAUGGGGAAACCCAGUGUGAUUCGUCACACUAUCAUUAACUGAAUCCAUAGGUUAAUGAGGCGAACCGGGGGAACUGAAACAUCUAAGUACCCCGAGGAAAAGAAAUCAACCGAGAUUCCCCCAGUAGCGGCGAGCGAACGGGGAGGAGCCCAGAGCCUGAAUCAGCAUGUGUGUUAGUGGAAGCGUCUGGAAAGGCGCGCGAUACAGGGUGACAGCCCCGUACACAAAAGCGCAUAUGCUGUGAGCUCGAUGAGUAGGGCGGGACACGUGGUAUCCUGUCUGAAUAUGGGGGGACCAUCCUCCAAGGCUAAAUACUCCUGACUGACCGAUAGUGAACCAGUACCGUGAGGGAAAGGCGAAAAGAACCCCGGCGAGGGGAGUGAAAAAGAACCUGAAACCGUGUACGUACAAGCAGUGGGAGCCCCACCACUAAGCCAGUGGUGAACUUCACAUACGCAUCCUUUGCUGAGGAUACGGUUAACGGAGCGAAAGCGACGUUCAACCUCAAAAGAAGCAGAGGGGGCUUAGUGGUGGGGUGACUGCGUACCUUUUGUAUAAUGGGUCAGCGACUUAUAUUCUGUAGCAAGGUUAACCG